UUCCUAUAGUUGAAAGUAGUCAACGGUGGUUUUUCAAGUCACAGGUCUUGGAUCAAUCCCAAGUAGGAAU
rnacentral:tRNA from 1 species